ensembl:lncRNA
GAAACUGAAGCUGUGAGAUGUGCAGUGGUUACCAUAGCAUACAGUGAAUGAAGGUGUGCAAGCAUGAGGGAGCUAAGAUGUCCCCUAACAGCAGGAUGAAUAAUGACUUGGUCGCUAAAGAAGAAAACGGAUGUGGAUGUCUCAGUGUACGCAGAGCAGAAUAGACAAUGGCUUCACCUACUUGAGAAAUUACUAUGUUGGGCUGGCAGGACUUACGUGAGCUAUUCAGCCAAGACAGAAACAACUCCAUGCUCCUGGAUGGCCAAGUUACAAACGAGGUUGAUCUGUCUGCACUGCUGAAACUUGAUGACUCGCAAUCAACAGUCUGUAGAACAAUGCGGUUAACAGUGUGAAGAUGUGGAUUUUUUUCCACCUCUAAAUGCUGGGUUCUGUGCUGGGCCAGUGAGGUAAGUCUGACUUUAGUUGACCGCCCAAUAGAAGAACAGAGUGCAAGUAAAGGGAGUAAAGAUACUUGAAGAUAUGUUGAGCUGUUAAUACUGCACUCACUUCUUAUAUCUAGAAGGGGCAAGUUUGGCUGCAUAACCUUCUGACAAACGUCAUUUUCUUGUUAAAUGUUAAAUCACUGAUGGGACCCUUUGAUUGGAGAUUGUUUUUCAAAGACCCACAGUCUACGCCGCAACCUUGCAGAAGGAUCAGGAGCAUGUGCUAACGCAAUCACAAGAGCAGUAUUUCCCGUGAAGGUGAAACAACAGUCCACUAAAUUAAUUAUUUUUUUAAAACCAGUGAGAUUAUACUUAUUUGUUCCAUGCAGCUAGAAUUGUUACAGGAUUACAUGCUUUGAUAUGAAAUGCAAGUUUGGAUCCAAUUCUUAGAGGAGCUAAACCUGGAUCUUACACUAAAUCCAGUGCUAGCAGCUCUGGACAGUAUGGGUAGGCUCCAUGAGGGUCAGGCACAUUACAUAAUUACUCACAGAAACUGGCAUCACACUUACCUAUGGUCCAGCAUGCCCACUUCUCAGUAGAUUAGUGCUGGCUCAUACAGCCAUAUUUAAUCUUGCUCCUUUGGAGGGGACCUCACCAUAGCUUGGUUACACCCAAAUUCAUAUUGCACUCUAAAAUAAAAUAAAAACAAUUGUAAGGACUGGCAUAUGCAUAACCCUAAGGGGUGCUGCUUGAGGUAUUCAGAAGCGAUACAGACAGCUACAUCCACAUCAGUGUGUGUCUGUUAUUCUCCAUCUAAAUAACAGGGCAGAUAUCUGUGACAUUUGGAAAAAAAAAUAAGAUGAAUUUGUCCAAUAUGUGUGCAGGGAUAUGGGAUAACAGCGCUGCAUGGAUGGAAUAGCAGGGAGUGCCUGGGGUCAGCGGGUGAGUGGCAAUGCUGUGUGGGGAUGGUUGUAUGGGGCCACUCACAGCAUUGCCCCAGCCCAUGGUUGGACAGGCAGGGUGAGCUAUUCUUAGUCAAGAACUUCAUGCAGAACCCAGCCCUUAGAAAAAAAGAGCAAAAUAGCUUUUUGACCAGAAGAUUGAGGCUUCUUAUGUGGUUUGAGGCUGUCAUCUGAUGAACAGCUUGUCCCAGAAGUUAUAGCUAACGUCACUGCUGAGUGCUGUGGCACGUAUUCCAAAUGCACGAGACAGAUCGUGAACAAAAACUGUGUUUGUUUCAAAUUCAUACUCCUAAUACUAUUGACUAUUAAAUACUUGUGGUACAUUAGUAUCUGUAGCUCAAAUCAGAAAAGCUGCAAAAAGUAGCCAUUGUUAACAAGGUUCUGUUUCUUCCUGAAAUUAAAUCAACUGGCAUCAAUUUGAAGAAAAUUUGCUGUAAUGAGUUUUUCUUACUGAGAGUGACCAAAGCAGAACAUAGGAAGGAGUGCAGCAAAUCAAAGAAGCAAAGAAAAGGUUGGGAAGACAGACAAGCAGCUAAUGCAGCCAUGCCACGGUGUUGAAGCGCGACGUCGGGUGAAAUGCAGGCAUUGUGUGGAGCCGUGAGAGCGCCAGCAGUGCACGGCACGUGGGAACACAUUCAGGCCUACACCAAUGAGAAGAAACAGGAAAGGCUGUGGGCAUCCCACUGCCUUUGCUGUGCUGAUUCCUGGGGAAGCAGAAGAAGAAGAGCUCCAGCAGGUAAGAUGCAGCCAUCAAUUUUGCUACUACGAUAACAGUAUGUGUCUGAGGUACCAUUCCCAGAUGGCUUUCCUAGGCCCUCAGAUUUCAAAAACUGCCAGGGAGUUUUUGUAAUUCACCUCACAGUAAACGUAAACACUGCUUAAUGGAUGGCUUUAAUGCUGCCUUUCUGCUUCAAGGAUUUUUCAUUGGUCGCUGCUGCAGUGCUGGAACUUGCCCCGGGGCUGCACGCAGGCUGCCAUGCAGCCAAGGGCUUAGAAACCUGUGUCAUUUCAGUUCAUGUUGAUUAUGGUUUUUGACUGAAAUACUGUGGUAUUCUUUUUAAAGAAAGCACUGAGUCACCAAAACUAGCACUUACUUUGUAAAUGCAUUGGUUUUGAGGGGAAACUUUCUGAAGCAGAUGGAACUGCUGUAUAGAGGGGAAAAAAAAUUCUUCACUGAUUAGGGCACUCGUGUAUGGGAGCCCUACAGUCAGCAAAGAGCUGUUAUUUAUGAACUUGUCACUACACCUGCGAGGGAACGGAGCAGAGCAAGGAUUUGAACCAGACUAGUUUCCCAAUCAUUGGUUCAUGGUCUCAGUGUAUACUGAGAGUGCCAAUUUAUUUUGGAAGCCUCGCUAAAUAUUCAUGAAGUCUGGGAUAAAAUCCCCACAAGAUAGCAGUUACAGGAGCUGGAUGAGAUACAGGCUGCUCGUGCUUAAGCCCUUGAUUCAAGCUGCUUAGAGAAAUACCUCAUGUUCAAGUCCCAUCUCCCACCCAGUGAGCUUAUGUGCUGUGUUGCUCUCCAUUCAGCAUGAUAUAGAAAGACAACCCCAGAAGUCAAACUUCCUUUUUUUCCUACUCCAAUUCUGCCUACCCCAAUGUACUAGAAAUGAAUAAAAUUAGAAUUGGGCCAUACAUUUAUAUCCCCAUUUUCCCUCCAACAUCUCUUCACUGGGUAUGCCUGGUUGUAGAUUUGCUGCAGUUCAUUUCUUCAAGAUUACCCUGAAAGGAGUGAUUUUGUUUAUCUUCAAAAUGAAAGUUGGUGGGAAUGGUGGCUUCCCCGUAUUAAUUGUAUGAACAGAAAGCGGUGCUGUGAGGUCAAGAGGAAGUGCAGUGCUCAAGAUAUUACCAAACUAUGUCAUGAAAACAGAUGUGCUCUGCUGCUUCUUUCUAUGUAUGGGGAAUUUUCUCAAGAUCUUAAGAGAUGUCUACUCUGACCACAGAGGCUUUUGUCUUAUUCUUCCACUUUCCACCUUUGAGAACAGAUCAUGGUGGUUUUUUUUUGUGGGCUUUCCCCCCCCCCCCCCUCCAUGUUUUCUUUUGGUUUUCUAGCAGCCUCACAUGGGCCCAGCACUGGGAGCAGAAGCUCAGCAUCACCCACUACAGCCUCCUUUCUACAGCACUGCCAGGUGGGUGCAGAAUGCUCAGGGGAGCCCUACAGGUAAUGGGCUGAGCUGAGGGGUGCCAGCUGCUCCUUAACGUCAGGAGUAUGAGGGUCACAAUGAAGGUCUGGAAGAAACUAAGAGUAUUUUUUAAUCAAUAAUUCUAAGUUUCUCUCUCCUGGCCUUAUGCCAGGUCUUAGUGUUACUCUAAUGAAAACUGUAGAAAAUGUAUACACACAUAAGCUUGCUUAGCUAGGAAAUGAAAAAAUAACGAACAUUUACAGCCAGUAAUCAAAACGAUAAGCAAUCCAUCUGUUGGCAGAGGAGCAUUUUAUAUGACCAGUGAUGCAGAAGGCUCCUGCAGGUAAGCUACAGCAGCAAUCCAGCUGAGGCACUGCACCCUACCAGCUCUAGGAGCUAUGUGAGGUGGUGCUGCUGAUAUCAGCCUCUGGAGCUGACCUGGUGCUGCAGGAACCUGCUGCUGUGCUGGGUCUUGUUCCACAGGGCAGGCUCUUCUCAUAAACUAUGUGGGGAAUUAAUAUAAUUAUACCUGUGCAAGUAGGAGGAAAAUUAAAACAUAUGUUAUCAGUUCUGAGUAGCCACCAAAGUAGUUGUAUAGUCUACAAAGCACAGUUGGAAAGAGUACUGCAGUGAGAUAGCAAAGGAACAAACAGAGAAGAACUGCUCACCUGUAUGCAAAGAUUUAGGCUCACACUGAAAAGCUCCACAAAGGAGGGAUCACCACAAGGAGAUUCUUCCCCAGUGUUAGUCAGCCCUUAAAUGGGGUCUGGGAGGGGUGGAAUGUGGUCACACAGCUUCUGGUCACAUAGCUGAAUUGCUUUCACCUGUGCUCCCACAGCUGAUUCAGUCCUUGCCUCAGGUGAUCAAUUGGUGGUUCAGGCUGUGAUUCAACAGUUCCCAUGCAGUACUUUAUCCAAACACUGAACAACCGUGCUGUACCUUCGUAGCAACGUGAGGAGUUCUACACGUUGAGAGAUGACUGCCUCAACUUUCAGCUUUCAGCCCUGACUCUUCUUAAAGGUGAGUUUUUGGUUGGCAGAGAGUGAUUGUGAAAUUUAGAGCCAUAAUUUUUCUUUGGUAUGAUGGAGUUUUGUAGGUUGGUUGUAGCAGUUUUGUAAGUUGGUUUCAAAAUUGCACUUUUACUCUGCUAAUUAGGUGGUAUUGACCACCAACUUGAACUAGGUAGUGUUACAAGUAUGAUGUGUAAGUGUUGUGUCAGAGGACAAGGAAUGUUGUUGCCUGAACCACAGCUGUAAUGCUGUACCUGGCCUUGUUUACAUUGCUGAAGCUCUGUGGAGUGCAGUUCUUCUGUGGAAAAUGGAAAUGAAUGGUAUUUGCCUAUCACAAAAGAGUGCUACAGUAGGUUGUUAGCUCCACUGGAUUGUCUACGUGAAGGUGUACAGAACUGUUCAGAAAUCUCCACUAGCUACUUGGGAUUUGGACUUGCGUUUUUGUAGCUCUGCUAACUAAAUUCCAGUGUAACAAUUGCAAUAGAUUCUUCGUAUGGUUCUUCUUUUAUUUUGCUUGUUAUUGGAAAGGAACUUCUAAUCUAUGCACCAGGCUCAGCAGCAGUGCAGGCAGGAAAGGACCCGAACUUUAGAGCUUCUGUCAGUUUGGACUGGAAAUAAUUGUGCAAAGGAUUGUGAGAUUUUGCUGUCUUCAAAUGUGAAAUAUACUUGAGCAACAGUUUAUCUUUUAGUGUAACUUCAAUUCAAAUCUUAGCUUCAGAUACUAUGAUUUUGACUUUUCCUAAUAAAAAAUCCAGGUGGAAGUGACUAGAAAUAGGAAGCAAAUACCUAAUUUGCAGAAAAAUGCCUUGGCGGUAGUGAAGUGAGAGCGCCUGACAGACUGCCUCAUGGUGUUCAUUCUUACUGAGCUACAGUGAAGGCAGAUGAAGCAUAAAUUACUCAGUAAGCAAAUGCCUUGUUUUCUCUGUAACUCCACCUCUUUGGGGCAUCCUGCCCUGUCCCCACCCCUCGCACUUGUCUGCUUGUCUUAAUGGCAGUAUUCACGCAGCUGGUAAUUUAUGUGUCUGAGAGAGAAGAUUUACACAGAGCCUUCCCUUCAGUUAUUCAGAAAAUGUGAGAUACAACACGUGAUUUGUUAGGUCCCAAACUCUUAAAAGUCACGAACAUCUUAAUGGCUGGGCUCGAGCAAGAGAAGUUUUAUAUGCAAUAACUUGAGCGAGAAGCUGGUUCUGAGGUCCUCACUUUACGCCUAGUUACAAAAGUUUGUCUUCAAAAUAAAUACAAUGCCUAUUGUAACAUAAGCACACAGUAAUUUGGCUUUGGUUGAAGCAGUUCGAUGCGCUGCUCUGGCAGACAGACGGAGCUGAUCCAGUUACGGAGACCUGCUUGAUUCGGUCGGUGUCUUGUGUCAUAAACACGAAUUGUUAAUUUCAUAUUACUCAUAACAGGCGCACUGUGAAUGUUUGCAGCGUUUAUAGGAUAUCAGUUACAAAUGUGAUUAUACCAGCCAUUCCUCAGGACUGACACCAGUUUCAAAUUAGAAGCUGACAGGCCUCACCUGCUCCUGAGUUCACCGACAGGUCACCUUCUUGUCAUUUUGGCUGUCCCCCCCCUCAGAAUGACAUCUGUGUUCAUAAAGGGACAGUGAGGGACUCUAAGUUGUUAGAAUUGUUGAAGAAUAAGAAUAAGGUGUCAUCUACUCCAAUAACGUAGUACUCAACUUUGGCCUUUCAGAUGGCGUGAUGCUUGUAGCACCUGACAAUGUUUCCAGAUACAAGAAUAGCCAGAUCGGAGGGGCAGCAGUUGUUCCCUCUUCUACGCACGGAUGCUAGGCAUUCAGCCCAGUGCUAGCCACACAGUAGAGGCAACCUCAGAGUAUUCAGCAAGGGCUUUCAAAAUACCUUUACUUUUUACAUAAAGGGAUAGCACGUUAGCUUAAAUUAAAUCAUUCAGAGGAUGUUAUUACAUAGUCAGAUUUUAAAGCAACCUGUGAAAGGCAAAAGGUAAAUACUGUUAGACAUACAACUAGAUAAAAUAUAUUUGAAGCCUUUUCAAUUUGUUGGACAUCUGCAUGAAUCUCUGCGUACUGUGGGUAUAGAUGCAAACCGUGAUGUUACGUGGAAUUGUCCUAGCACUUAAAAACACAUAUUUCUUCCUUUCUAAGGAAGAUUUUUCGCAUUUGCUCGAUUGCUGUAACGCAGUUGAGAUAGGGCAGUCCAAUUACUCUGCCCAGACACUUCUCAAAACUCAGAAAAAGGGCAUCCCUCUUCCAACACAGGUUCAUAAUUAGCUUAUUUCUGUCAGUGAACGCACAGAGAUGUCAGAUCCAAACAACCUCAAACUGUUCAGAACAGAGAUUUGGGCUCCUCUGCAUUUCAAGUUUACUGAAUAAGUGCACAAACCAAUACAUGCAUGCCUCAAAUGGAACAGCUGUGCAUCUGUCUCCUUAAUGCAUGGGUUUUACAGGAAGCUAAGCAUGUGCAUACGUAUAAGCCCACUGAAGUUGCCUGCCCCAUUGCUGCUGUAUGUAGAGAGGAAGGUCUGUGGGUGAGCUCCCAGCUGUGGGCUGUGAAAGCUUUUCUCCUGGCACCUCCAGGGGCUGGACAGACUUACACUCACCUUGAGCUCAGUUGUGUGCUGGUGAGAAAAGAGCAGAGAUGUUCGUGAGAGGGUGGGAAAGGAUAAACAAGAUGUUCAAUUGCACUUUGCCAAAUGAAGGACUCAGAGCAGCCAAGGAAAAUCUUUUUUUUCUAUUUUCCUCACUAAAUUAAACCUUUAUUUUUGUCUUAGACACUGUGGCUAGCAGAACUGUGAGGACAUUCACAGUUAUAACAGUUACCAUCAUUCUCUGAAAUCUGUCCUUGAUUUUAUUUUCUGCUUCAGGAAAUAUUAUAGUAUUGUUAUUUUAUCUAUAUUAAAUAAACCUAAGGCCUGACUCUUCAUGGUGUAAACAAGCAUGACUUCAGGAAAGCAGUGCUGAAUCACGCCAUCUGUGUGUCUGAGUCUUAAUAUAAAAAGGAACAUGUUACUAGAGAGUAAACAGAAGUAAACAUUUGUUAUGGAAACUCACGUUAUCAACCCAGACACCCUCCUCCGGCGUUUAGCAGGAAAAAAACCCACCUAUGGUAGAUUUACAGAAGCCACCGCUUUUUUUUUUAAUGAUUUGGAUAUUGAUCAUUUUUAAUCUUCUUCUCAGAACAACCGGGAGAUCUAUUAUAGCUUGAGCCAGCCAUGAAAAGCAGGUCCGUUCUUUAACCUGCCCCAAUUCACUUGGACAUAUUUUAUAUCUCCAGGGAUUCAGCCACAAAGUCCAUUAGAGCAUCAGAUGCAGUGAGGUCAAAUCAAUUGUCCAUACUGCAGACAAGGUAACCAUCAUUUACUGUAAUUCUCCCCCGUCAUGGUAGAGGAGAGGAAAGGUUAAAAGCUGUAUUACCAUGAGGCUGUCUCAUCUAUCUUUCAGUAUAUUGGUAAUACCUAAACAUUGCUUAAGGAACUGAAUGCACAAUCUUAAAUCUGCGUUAGAAUGGAUUUAGAGGUUAGAUUGCCAACUUGCAAAAUUUGCGAAUGAUGAUUUCUUCAAAGAAAAGCAGAAAAAAUGAAAAUUUUAAAACAAAAAGCUUAAAAUAUAUUGUCACGUCUGACACAGCCGAUCUGAAGCUAUACUGAACGUUCAUCUCACAAUGACCCGAAUGACUGCUAUUUAUCCUUCCCUAUACAUACAUAUAUUUACCUAUGAAGUAAUUUGCUGUCAUCUCUUUAAGGUGGAGAUGCUAUGACAGUCCAAAAACAAAAGAGGAAGUAAAUUCAGGAUGUAUAUUUUUGCACUGUAAAUCAAGCCCUUAUGUGUUUGCACUCUACGAUGGGCAAUAAUAAUUGACUGAAGCAAUCACUGCUGUGGGAAAACAAACGUCCUGGCAGUGUCGCAUGUGAAGGUCAAGCCUGAUGACACAGUAAGCACCUGAACUCUCACUGACUCCUGGGGAGGCGGCCGCUGAGCACCUCCCGGAGCUCUCCUGGCAGGGACAGAUUUACGCAGCCGCCGGGCAGGGGGUGAGGAUGCUUUUUCGCUCCCACCUCCUUCCGUUGGGUCUGCAAAGUCAUUUAUUUCCAUUACAUGUUCUCUCUGGCUCCUCUGCUCGGUAUGUCAGCUGCAUGAAACCAGAGAGAAAAGGCACUUCUGUGCUUCCAGGGACUGUGCAUCCCUCCUCCUUCAAACAAUUGUGCUGGCCCCAAUUCACUUCAUGCAAGCUGGUGCAUUGUUUGCAUGCAGGGGAGCUGUGUCCACUGCACACGCGUGUGAAAGCUGUGGCACCAUGGCCCAGAUCUUGUUGGACACUGUUGAAGCAGGAAGCAAUAAACCCAGCUUUAUUCACUUGCUUAUUUGCCUUUUCUAGGUUAAUCUUUUCUCUUUCCCUGGAUUUCUUUAAUCCUGGGAUGUUUUCAUUGAGAAAGUGAUUGAAUGAAGAGGCAUUUAGAUUUUCUGUAUUAUGGAAAUGUUUUCACAGCUGUCAGAACCAGUAAUUCUGUCCUUCUGUUUCAGAAGCUAGGUUCUAAGCAAACGUACGCAUCCGUUGUUUAAAAUAGAGGCAAAGAAAUAAGGAAUAGAAAAUAGUCACUGCAGUACAAGUGUGUAUUUCUGAGGCUGACGUAUAUUCUGACAUACGUUCACGGUAACUGUAUUGGGAGACAAUGGAUGAACGCAGUGGGAGUGUAAGAGCUGAUGAUGUACGUUACAGAUAAUAAAUAUUUUUGUACGGAAGCUUAUUUGUAAAACUUAGAGUUUAACACUCAGCACAAUAAAUUCCACUUUCAGGUAAUGUGGGCAUUCAAUAACCAUAAAAAGGAACCGGUAAAAGUUUUGUGUGCGCUGAAGGAGAGAGAAAUGUGCUUUAGAUUAGGUGUUACAUACCUUUCACUUAGCUGCUUUUCCUCCUCUGUUUCCUCUUUUCAUGAUUUUCUUUAUUAUUACCUACUCUCUGGGCUCCUUUUCCUCAGUCUGUGUUGCCCAUCACCUCUGAAUUCAUCCCUAUGAAUGUUUAUGCACAGGUCUUUCACAACAGUGCAGACUGGCAUUGUGCU